UUUCUCAACUGGAGCCAUUAACACCCCAUGGAAGCAAAUGCCUGGGCUCUGUGGGGACUCCCAGCCUCCGAGGUGGGAGGGACGUUCUGCUGGGAUUCUACCACUGCUUUUGAAUUCAUUAACCACCAGGAUUGUGCCGUACAAAUGGCUUUGGUUUAGCAUUAGCAGGAAGAAGAGCAGCCAGCUUCUUUAACAAAAGAGUCCUAAAAGAUGUGUAAUGCACCAGCAGCAAUACCUGACUGUAUGAAGAUUGCAGCAGUCUCUCCACUGAUGAAUCUGCACAAUUAUAAAUAAAUCACAGCUGCUCUGACCAUUUUUUUUUCAAGCUAAACCUCCGAAUUCCUUGCAAGCCGACCUCAUUGGAGCAUCUGAGCUCAAAUAGCUGUACUGAGGAAAAAAAACUUCAGCAGACUUCAGGAAUUGUGUAUUCUCAGGACUACUACAGAAGUGACAACAUUUGUACCCAGCAGGUUCUUAAGGAGGUUCCAGCUGUGAUCCACCUCUCAGGGGGUUCGGCCUGCAGCUGGGGGGACCAGCAGGAUGCCACUGGAAGCCCUUGGCCCCACAGCACAUCUCCAUCGUGUGACCAAGAGUUAAUUUUGAUUGUCUGUGUGUCAGCUGCCAGUGGGUGUCUGGACUUUCCCCCUGGGAUGACAGGAGCAGCUCCUCGGCUGCCAAUGACGUCUUCUCGGGCUGGCAGUGAGCAGUGGCCACUGCACCAGGGCACGGCAUUGAGCCAAGAUGUUGCUGAAGGCCGUAACUGGAACACCUGCCAGCUGGGCUGGAGAAGGUUUUGAGCCACUAAAGGAGGGGCCUGAGCCUGUCACAGGAGACCCAGGCCACAGCUCCAUCAGCACUUUUGGGAGCCCCAGGCCUGCACCAACCCCUACUCAUGCCAGAUUUCAAGGCUCUUUCAGGCCGGAGUGGAGCUGGCUGGCUGGAGAUCAGAGCAGUUGCUCACCUGCAGCAGGUCAUGCAGCCCCUGCCAAGUGUCACCAUGUGCUGUGAGAUGUGACAGGAGCAGAAUCACUGGUGCAAACUCCACCAUCCGUCCCUGCUGCCUCAGCCCAGGGGUGAAACCCUGCAGCAACAACCCUCCUCAAAUAUCCCGUGUCCCAGAGAGACUUUAUUGAGUGAUGAAAGAGCAAUUCUCAGCUCGGCUGGAAGCAGAGUUGCUCUUGUUUGCAUUUGCAAGGAAAAUUAUUCCAACCCCAUUUUUUUGUACAGCUUGUCCCCCCUUGGUGUGAGCUGCAAAAGAAAUAAAAGAAAUUCAGGAUUUUUGUUUUCAGUUUUGCACUGGUUUGCUGGAUUCUCUCCUGCAAGUGGUUAACUGUGGUAUCUGAAGUCUGAGGAAGCUCUCUGAAGCAAUCUUGCAAUUUACAUCUUUUCCUUUACUAAAUAAGAAACGGUCAGGAAAUUAAACAGGAAAUUGUGUCUGGAAGGAACAAAA